AGCACUGUUUAUCCACCUGUUGACCAUGGGUCCAAUUCAUCUCCACCGUCAGCGUGGGCCUCCUCUCUCUCUCUCUCUCUCUCUCUCUCUCUCUCUCCAAUGAGUUAAAUUGAGUUUCCAACUAAUCAUCACCAGAAGGCCACACUGUGAAAAAGUGCGACGGCUUUCUCCCAAAGCUGGGAUCGAUCCACCAAAAUUCGAUCCCCGUCACUCAAUAAAUCCAACUUCUCCCGGUUGAUAUCCGAAAGAGCUUCACCGAUUGAGGUCACGAUAGCCAGAUUGUCACCCUCCAACGGUCAGCCAAUGCGCUUAUGAGAGAUCUACUGGUCCGGCAUAAAUAUCUAUAGUUGCGGACCUUUAUUUGCCUUUUUCUUGCACUAUAUUGCAUCAUAGUUUGUCCGCCAUCUGGGAUAACAAUUGUUACCUUUUUCAAUGGGAGACUCAUUUGACCACCCUGGUUCAAGAAAAGGCUCUGAGGUGGCUAAUGUCAUCAACAAUAAAAAUACUUCUAAAAGAUGUUUGAUUGCAUCUAGCCUUAAGUCGGGCUUGCAGAAUCCUACAAGGAAUACAGUUCCCUUCAAUCAUAUCAGAAUGAGCAGUACUGCUGGUGAUGCAGCAUUGUUUUUAAUCAAGGUUGCUGCACUAGAGACACUGCGGAGGUUUUCAAAGGCAAGAUGUCCAGUUGUAUGGUGUGGUAUUCAGGCGCUGCAAGCUCUCUGCUAUCCACCAUUGAGGUGGAUCCAAAGAUGGGCUCCUUUCAAGGGUUUGAUAAGUAGCAUGCAGACAUUAUCGAGGCCAUUAUUUGUCCUUUCGAUUGCAACUGCAUUCUCUGAUCAACCGGGGCGUCGCAACAUCACCUCUGACGCUGUUGAGGAUUCCCAGGGCGUCAAUUAUUCUCAGGCAUCUUCAGAAUCAAAUUCGGAGUUACCUUCAGCGCAGUCUACUCUUGAUACGAGUGUUCUUGAUGAAGCUCCUCAAAGUUGUCAAUCAUCUACAAAUUGGUUGUCUCAAGUCUAUGAAGAGCUGGAAAAGCAGGGUAUUAAUUUACCAGAAAGAAUUAAUGAGGACGAACUUCACAGAUUCUAUAUUGAUGUAAAUUGUGAUCUACCGUGCUUGCUAUCGUCUGUUAAGAAGACAAUCCUCUGGAGAAAGACUUUUUACAUUCUUUCAGGACAAGAACUUGAGAUGUGGUCGAAUAUGGUCUUCUGGCAUGGAGUUGAUGUGAACUGCAGGCCCUGCCUUAUUGUAAGGCUCGGUCUAGCUUUCAGCAGCUUGUCGUCUCAUGAAAGACCUCGCUUUCUUCAAGCUGUUGUUUCUCAGGUAGAGCAUGGGAUUCUACAUCUGGUUAACCCUGGAAAUCCUCGAAUUACUGUAUUGGUGGAUUGUCAAGGGUUGUCACCUCUGAGAUUUCCCAUGCAAAUGAUGAGAUCAUGUUUUUCGAUUUUUCAAGAGCACUUCCCUGGUCGUCUUGGCUUUGUGUUUGUCAUACGGGUUCCUCCAGUUGUUCGAGUUAUUGCACACGCUGUAACCAAAGUUUUGAAACCUGGCACUCGAGAAAAGCUUAAAAUUGUAGGGGAGAUGUACCAGAAGAUUCUCGCGGAGAACUUUCAGACACUCCCAUCAUAUCUUGGUGGCACAUGCACGUGUGAGAGAUGCUCAAACCGCCUCAUUUGCAAUAUCAGACUCCGUCAAAUAAACAACACCAGCAAAACUGAGAGAAAAGCAGAUGUCAACGGUUGUGAGGACAUACCAUCACCUCGUCAAAGUAAUCUGACAAAUAUGCACAUGAAUGGCAAUUGUGACCAGGCAUUGCGAGCUUCUGUGAUAGCCGUCCUAGUUUUCUGGGUCCUAAUCGCUUUCCUUGCAGGAAUAUACAAUCCUGAAAGCCAUCCGGCUCUGCCUUUCUAAGGAGUAUCUCUUGGACCCGACAUAAUAUGUAAGGCGAGAGGAUGCAAAACAACAGAGGAAGCUCAGGGGGAAGGUUUGUAUACCACGUGUACAUAUAUAUGCAGAACUGAGGACCUUUCCCGCUUCUCAUGCUUCUCAUACAACGAUUUUCUCACAAAUACUUUUGGAGCAUCUUUUUUGAACUGCAUUGGAAGAAGGUGGAUUAAACGCAUAAACAUCUGGUCACACCCAAUGUUCAAGGUUUCUAUUUGAAUAGAUACUGGUGCAGUAUUGUUUUAUUGUGUAGCUUAGUUUUCCGGGUGUGGUUUUAUGUGAAAAUUAGAUUCUCUUCUCGACAGUUUUUCCCAAUCAAAUGUUUUUUUCUGUUGCAUGUAAGAAUAUGUUGAAGCAGAAGUCGAUCAAAGUGAAUGUAAGCAAUUCAGCAAUUCAGAUUCA